rnacentral:rRNA from 1 species
ACGCACGCUGGCGGCGUGCUUAACACCUGCAAGUCGAACGGUGAACUCCGCUUGCGGGGGGAUCAGUGGCGAACGGGUGAGUAACACGUGGGCAACCUGCCCUCAGCUCUGGGAUAACUCCAAGAAAUUGGGGCUAAUACCGGAUAUGACCGCUGACCGCAUGGUCUGGUGGUGGAAAGAUUUAUCGGCUGGGGAUGGGCCCGCGGCCUAUCAGCUUGUUGGUGGGGUAGUGGCCUACCAAGGCGACGACGGGUAGCCGGCCUGAGAGGGUGACCGGCCACACUGGGACUGAGACACGGCCCAGACUCCUACGGGAGGCAGCAGUGGGGAAUAUUGCGCAAUGGGCGAAAGCCUGACGCAGCGACGCCGCGUGGGGGAUGACGGCCUUCGGGUUGUAAACCUCUUUCAGCAGGGACGAAGCGAAAGUGACGGUACCUGCAGAAGAAGCACCGGCCAACUACGUG